UGUUCCCGAGCACAUUCCCAGUGACGUCACAGCGGUGAGUCAUCGAUGGACGACAAACAAGAAGACCAGUCUGGACUUGUCCGAUCGUCCAGUCCGAAUUCGUGGUGUUUUUACAAUCUCUAUGUGCACAAUCGAUCGGCGGUGUGAACAUUCAACGUCAGCUGAAUGUUUGGGGUGCAUCGACAAAACGACAAGGUGACCGCACUUUACGUCCGCGUUUUUAUCUCAUCCAGUCCCGAAUCUCCUGAACGGUCGCACAAAAUUCAAGGGUCCACCUUUCCCAUCAGCAUGUCCACCACUGUGAUCAAAGGAAGAAGCGGAGUUAUAGUGCACACUCAAGUGACAUAAGACAUUUAGGUUCCAUAACAAGUCAUUCAAGAAUCGCAUUAAAAUUUAUUUGUCAUUGUUAUAUAUCUUAAAUUUUAAUCGAAUUUAUUUCGUUCUUUUGUAAAAGAAUUGAGUUGAGUUACAUGUACUAGUGCAUAUGCCUUUGAGAUAAACCACGCCAACGUAAAAUCGUUGUGUAUCUCGCUAAAGAAAAA